rnacentral:tRNA from 6 species
GGCCAGAUAGCUCAGUUGGUAGAGCAAAGGACUGAAAAUCCUUGUGUCGCCGGUUCGAUCCCGGCUCUGGCCACCA